CUCCAAUAGCGUAUACUAAAGUUGUUGCAGUUAAAAAGCUCGUAGUUGGAUUUCUGGUCGAAGCAGCCGCUCAGCUUCUAGUAAGUUUGUAGCUGGCGCUUCGUCCAUUUUUUGUAAAGGCUGUAUCUGUCAUUAAGUUGGUGGGUACAGAACUUGCAUCAUUUACUGUGAGCAAAAUAGAGUGUUCAAAGCAGGCUUAG
rnacentral:rRNA from 1 species